UACGGGGGGGGCAAGCGUUGUUCGGAAUUACUGGGCGUAAAGGGCUCGUAGGCGGCCAACUAAGUCAGACGUGAAAUCCCUCGGCUUAACCGGGGAACUGCGUCUGAUACUGGAUGGCUUGAGAUUGGGAGAGGGAUGCGGAAUUCCAGGUGUAGCGGUGAAAUGCGUAGAUAUCUGGAGGAACACCGGUGGCGAAGGCGGCAUCCUGGACCAACACUGACGCUGAGGAGCGAAAGCUAGGGGAGCAAACGGG
rnacentral:rRNA from 1 species